CACGUAGGCACCAAGCGUUGUCCGGAUUUAUUGGGCGUAAAGAGCUCGUAGGCGGUUCAGUAAGUCGGGUGUGAAAACUCUGGGCUCAACCCGGAGAGGCCACCUGAUACUGCUGUGACUUGAGUUCGGUAGGGGAGUGGGGAAUUUCUAGUGUAGCGGUGAAAUGCGCAGAUAUUAGAAGGAACACCGGUGGCGAAGGCGGUCUGCUGGGCGGUGGGGGCGCAAGCUCCCAAUAGCCGACACUGAGGCGCGACAGCGUGGGGAGCAAACAGG
rnacentral:rRNA from 1 species